rnacentral:rRNA from 1 species
AACGAACGCUGGCGGCAUGCCUAACACAUGCAAGUCGAACGAGACCUUCGGGUCUAGUGGCGCACGGGUGCGUAACGCGGGGGAACCUGCCCUUAGGUUCGGAAUAACUCCCCGAAAGGGGUGCUAAUACCGGAUAAUUUCUUCGGACCAAAGAUUUAUCGCCUUUGGAUGGGCCCGCGUUGGAUUAGCUAGUUGGUAGGGUAAAAGCCUACCAAGGCGACGAUCCAUAGCUGGUCUGAGAGGAUGAUCAGCCACACUGGGACUGAGACACGGCCCAGACUCCUACGGGAGGCAGCAGUGGGGAAUAUUGGACAAUGGGCGAAAGCCUGAUCCAGCAAUGCCGCGUGAGUGAUGAAGGCCUUAGGGUUGUAAAGCUCUUUUACCCGGGAUGAUAAUGACAGUACCGGGAGAAUAAGCUCCGGCUAACUCCGUG